AGAUAAUUGUACUCAGGCAAGCAAAAGAAAAGACAUACAUUUUAGGUACGAUAUACCGGAUUGUCAUUAAACCACAAGGAAUUUCUGCUUCUAAUGUGGUUGGGCAGCAGCCUGAUGGAAAGAAUGGGACUGCAUUUUUCAUGUGAGCAACUGGGUCCCCAUUUGUAUGUUCAGUGCAUCCCAGAAAAUUAAUGGAUCUGCAAAUGAACUACUGAAAUGUUUGUAAAGACUUUAUUUGUGUUAGACAAGCAGUCCUUCCGUUGCCCAUCUGAACCCUGCACCGCAGACAGAGUCACAAGGGCUGUGAGACAUACUGCCUGGGUAAAUAAAUUGGACAACAAUGCUAGCAGUUACUCCUUCUAGAACAACGGUGCCAUAUAUCCCCAGCAAACCGAGGCUGCCAAACACCCCUGGGACUCCAGUCUCCGUGCCAGAUAUUUGCUACAUAGCAGUACACGACACUGCAGGGAGAUGAUGUACCUUUGUCUAUGCCGGCAGUGACAUCAAAACAAUCAUUUAAUUUCUGGUGUACUGAGAAAGCCAUUGGAAAACGCUGGUACAUGCACUUUAGGCUGGUACCUGCACUUUGCUGAAAACCUCCAUGCAAAGACUGAGAUUCUUGUCAGGACACCUUCAAGAAAACUGCCGUACUGAACCAAGCUCAAAGUUGGCUCGAAACCUCUUGGACAACACGGUGGAGUGCACUGCCCUUGCAUCUGACUCAUGGAAAAGAGCUGCCCCGUACCACCCAAGAGCAAAGUGCUUUACAAACAGCAUGAGACCACGCCUAAACCCUUAGAUAGCAAGAGAUGUAAGACCACAGGAAGCAUUGACUUUUCCACACUGGGAAUGUGGAAGCUCCUCCAUUUGUUAUGUGCUGUGAACCAACAGAGCAACAGACUGCUGUCAGUAAAUCCAAAUGCUGUCAUCACAGCAGCUGCCCAGGAGCACAGAUGUGUGGGUUAAUAGAACCUGCCAAAGCCAAGCACAUAAAGAACUUCAUCAAAAUACAUCAGUGCAUCAGACAUCCCUUUGCUUUCAAUACUAAGGAUAAACAAAGGUCACACUGUCACCAGAUCACAGAAGCUUGCUGGGCUUGAUGCUAUUUUUUGCUGAGUUGCUCAAGAAUUAGAGAAUAGCUGGCAAUUUCAUUCACAAAUAUUUGCUAAUAGUUCCUAAUAUUUGCAAUAGUUCCUAAUGGGGCAGUGGAAGCAUGGAAGACUGGAAAAGACAUGGCUGUUCUACAUCUGGGGAGGAGACAAAUGUGCUCUAAAGCUACCAGGCAGCAUUUUUUGCUGUCUCUUUGUUAGGAAACUUUCUGUUAGAGUGACAUACAGAGCUGAAAGCCUCUACUAAAAUGUGUUUGGCAUCCAGCUCCAACUUCUGGGUCUAUGGUCCAGCAUGGUCCACCUAGAAGGUGGCUACCAAAAGGAACCAGAGGCAGCAGCUGUGCUGCCUGCCUGCUCAGGAGCUCUGUGCACUCUGGGGCAGUGCCUGCUGCAUUGGGAAGUCCCGUCCUUUUUCUCAUCAUCCAAAAGUUCAGCAAUAGCAAUCUGCAUGCCUUGCUUGGCAGCCGUCCCAGUAGCACAAGAGCACUCUGUGAUGGACUCUUUGGUUUCUAGGCUUAGAUGACUACUUCUUAGACUUUCUAACAGCAACAUUUCAUGCUGUCAUUUCAAGCCAUUUCAUGGCUUAUAGACACAAUGGCACUGCGGAUGAAAUAGUAGGCAUAGUCUCUUCAAGGGUCCCUUAGACCUGAUUAGGGGUUUUAAGCUCUCCUUCUUUAAGAUAUAUGGAUCCCCCCAAGGAAGAAUGGAUUUUGAACCUCUGCUCUCAGACAUAUCUCCUUUUAACAUGUGGAGUUCCAAAAGCAAUGACAGAUUAGAAACUCAUGCCAAAGUCGCUGAAGCAUUUACUAUAGCCCAAGGAAGCUAGUGUCACUCUUUCCUUUGUCCAGAA